rnacentral:rRNA from 1 species
UACAGAGGGUGCGAGCGUUAAUCGGAAUUACUGGGCGUAAAGCGCGCGUAGGCGGCUUUGCAAGUCGGGUGUGAAAUCCCCCAGGCUUAACCUGGGAACUGCAUUCGAGACUGCAUUGCUAGAGUAUGGGAGAGGGAAGUGGAAUUUCCGGUGUAGCGGUGAAAUGCGUAGAUAUCGGAAGGAACAUCAGUGGCGAAAGCGACUUCCUGGACCAAUACUGACGCUCAUGUGCGAAAGCGUGGGGAGCAAACAGGAUUGAGAAACCCUA